UACGGGGGGAGCAAGCGUUGUUCGGAUUUACUGGGCGUAAAGGGCGCGUAGGCGGCCACCGCAAGUCGACUGUGAAAUCUCCGGGCUUAACCCGGAAAGGUCAGCCGAUACUGCGGGGCUAGAGUGCAGAAGGGGCAACUGGAAUUCCUGGUGUAGCGGUGAAAUGCGCAGAUAUCAGGAGGAACACCGGUGGCGAAGGCGGGUCUCUGGGCCGAUACUGACGCUGAGGAGCGAAAGCGUGGGGAGCGAACAG
rnacentral:rRNA from 1 species